UUAUCCAUUGGUGUUUGGCCAAGUCUUCUGAGUAAUUUAGACAUAGUAGGCCUUCAAGAGAUGAAUUUCAUUCAGUCAGUUUAUCACUGCAGUCUCCGUAAGUUAUUUUUGUUUCAACACACACAUAUGCUACUCCAUUUAAGCUCUUUGUAAAACAGCUGUCUAAAUAUCUCACAUGGAAACCACUUCUUGGCAAAUAGAACAAGGCUGCUACAAACAGUUCCUGGGAGAACGAUACAUUUUGGUCGCCUGGGCAGGGGUGUGGUCAGAGGACCUCUUGCUCUUGGAGAGGAGAACACCUUCAAGAUUCAAGAUUCAAGGAGGAGGCGGACUAUGUUUCUAAUAAUCUUCCAUAUUCUCCUAACAUCGCCACUGUUCAAGUUCCCUGCAUUUUAGGGGUAAAGAAUCAUCUCUGUAAAAAUAUUGCAUGAAGAGUAACAGAUUAUGAAGCCAACUUUACCAUACUGUCUUGCUAUAUUCCUCCUUCUUUAGAUUACGAGCAAGCAGUUCACCCAGAGACCAAACAGUGGUAGUAUAAUGAGCUGUCCAGCUAACUGAAUAGUCCCACAUCUAAAGAAUUACAUGAAUUCUAAAGGAGGAAAGAGUCUACGAAGCCUAUCAACUGACCAAAGCAAUAAGCACAGGGCGAGCUUCGGACUGAAUAUGCAGUGGGCAAUACAAUGCAAGUUCAGCAAAACGGAGUGAGGAAACUUGCACAACACAUCAAUUUCAUUGGUUCGGUGAUGGAGUGAGCGUGCCGUUGUUUGCUAACCUAAAAAUGUAGGGACUCCAGAGAGGUAGAAAACUAGCAGGGCUCACUGGUGUCAGCUGCUUGAGAGAGGCCGUUCUCCUGGAAUGGCUUGUGUGAGGCCAUCAAGCAUACUCGUGGCCACCAUGACAGCUGCAGGACAAGAAAAUAGAUGGCCUUGUCUUUUCUCCAAGGGUUCUGCUGGAAGAUGCACAGAGCAACAAGAUGGAGGUGCUUGCUUCCCCAAAUGACCCCAUGGAGAAGAGGCGCCCCACCAGCCUAGACCAGCUGACUGCCACGUGAAAGAGGAAUGCAUUCUGUAUUAUUUAAGAUCUGGUGUCUUGGAGGUCCCUUCAUAAUUUAACUUAAUCUUCACCCUACUAUGUCUGUGAAUGAUAUGGUCAUAGAAGUUUCUUUUGUAAUAUAAAGCAA